UACAGAGACUGCAAGCGUUAUUCGGAUUCACUGGGCGUAAAGGGUGCGCAGGCGGCCAAGUGUGUGAGGCGUGAAAGCCCGGGGCUUAACCCCGGAAUUGCACCUCAAACUACAUGGCUAGAGCAUUGGAGAGGGUAGCAGAAUUCAUGGUGUAGCAGUGAAAUGCGUAGAUAUCAUGAGGAAUACCAGAGGCGAAGGCGGCUACCUGGACAAUUGCUGACGCUCCAGGCACGAAAGCGUGGGGAGCAAAAGGG
rnacentral:rRNA from 1 species